CCUACGGGGUGCAGCAGUGGGGAAUAUUGGACAAUGGGCGAAAGCCUGAUCCAGCCAUGCCGCGUGUGUGAAGAAGGCCUUCGGGUUGUAAAGCACUUUCAGUGGGGAAGAAAGCCUUGGGGCUAAUACCCUCUAGGAUGGACAUCACCCACAGAAGAAGCACCGGCUAACCCCGUGCCAGCAGCCGCGGUAAUACGGAGGGUGCGAGCGUUAAUCGGAAUUACUGGGCGUAAAGCGCGCGUAGGCGGUCUGAUAAGCCGGUUGUGAAAGCCCCGGGCUCAACCUGGGAACGGCAUCCGGAACUGUCAGGCUAGAGUGCAGGAGAGGAAGGUAGAAUUCCCGGUGUAGCGGUGAAAUGCGUAGAGAUCGGGAGGAAUACCAGUGGCGAAGGCGGCCUUCUGGACUGACACUGACGCUGAGGUGCGAAAGCGUUGGUAGCAAACAGGAUUAGAUACCCUGGUAGUC
rnacentral:rRNA from 1 species